AAAGGUAGCAUAAUCACUUGCCCAUUAAUUGUGGGCUAGAAUGAAAGGACCAACGAAAUAAAAACUGUCUCUAUAAGCCCAAUAAAAAUUAAUCUCUAACUGAAGACUGUUAGAUUUCAUUGAAGGACAAGAAGACCCUAUAGAGCUUUAUUUUAAUAAAAGUUCAAAUUUUAACAAAAUUCGGUUGGGGCGACCGGGGAAAAUCAUCAAUCAUCCCCUUACAAAAGAUUAAUUAAUCUAAAUUAUGACCCUUAAUCAAGAUCACCAAAACAAGCUACCUUAGGGAUAACAGGCUAAUCUCACUAAAGAGUCCUUAUCAAUAGUGAGGGUUGGCACCUCGAUGUUGGCUUAGGGAAUCUAUGCGGCGCAAAAGUCGCAUAAAGAUGGUUUGUUCAACCAAUAACACCCUACAUGAGCUGAGUUCAGACCGGCGUAAGCCAGGUUAGUUUCUAUCCUCAAUAAUAAUAUCUAUUUAUAGUACGAAAGGACCUGAAUAAGAAUAAAAAUUAUAUACUACGAAUAAAUAUAAUAAAUAAUUAAACAAACUAACAUAUCCACCAUA
rnacentral:rRNA from 1 species